AUCAGAUUCUAAACUCUCCACCAUGGCCAAGACCAAAGAGCUGUCCAAAGAUGUCAGGGACAAGAUUGUAGACCUACACAUGACUGGAAUGGGCUACAAGACCAUCGUCAAGCAGCUUGGUGAGAAGGUGACAACAGUUGGUGUGAUUAUUUGCAAAUGAAAAAAACAAAAAGUAACUGUCAGUCUCCCCCAGUCUGGUGCUCCAUACAAUAUCUCACCUCGUGGAGUUUCAAUGAUCAAGACAACAAUGAGGAAUCAGCCCAGAAAUACACGGGAGGAUCCAAGCAAACAAUUGGUAACACACUACGCUGUGAAGGACUGAAAUCCUGCAGCGCCCGCAAGGUCCC